UUCGGGAUGCUGGCGAGUGGCGAACGGGUGCGUAACGCGUGGAUACCUACCCUGAGGUGGGGGACAACAGCUGGAAACGGCUGCUAAUACCGCAUAUGCCUUAAGGGGCAAAGGCUUCGGCCGCCAUGGGAGGGGUCCGCGUCGGAUUAGCUAGUUGGUGGGGUAAAGGCCUACCAAGGCGACGAUCCGUAGCUGGUCUUAGAGGAUGAUCAGCCACACUGGGACUGAGACACGGCCCAGACUCCUACGGGAGGCAGCAGUGGGGAAUAUUGCGCAAUGGGGGCAACCCUGACGCAGCGAUACCGCGUGGGUGAAGAAGGCCUUCGGGUUGUAAAGCCCUUUCAGUAGGGAAGAUAGUGACGGUACCUACAGAAGAAGCUCCGGCUAACUCCGUGCCAGCAGCCGCGGUAAUACGGAGGGGGCAAGCGUUGUUCGGAAUUACUGGGCGUAAAGGGCGCGUAGGCGGCCUUGCAAG
rnacentral:rRNA from 1 species